rnacentral:rRNA from 1 species
GUGAGGAAUAUUGGUCAAUGGGCGGGAGCCUGAAGCAGCCAAGUCGCGUGAAGGAAGAAGGAUCUAUGGUUCGUAAACUUCUUUUGCAGGGGAAUAAAGUGCAGGACGUGUCCUGUUUUGUAUGUACCCUGAGAAUAAGGAUCGGCUAACUCCGUGCCAGCAGCCGCGGUAAUACGGAGGAUCCGAGCGUUAUCCGGAUUUAUUGGGUUUAAAGGGUGCGUAGGUGGUUUGAUAAGUCAGCGGUGAAAGUUUGCAGCUUAACUGUAAAAAUGCCGUUGAAACUGUCGGACUUGAGUGUAAAUGAGGUAGGCGGAAUGCGUGGUGUAGCGGUGAAAUGCAUAGAUAUCACGCAGAACUCCGAUUGCGAAGGCAGCUUACUAAGCUACAACUGACACUGAAGCACGAAAGCGUGGGGAUCAAACAGGAUUAGAUACCCCAGUAGUCC